rnacentral:rRNA from 1 species
UACAGAGGGUGCGAGCGUUGUCCGGAAUCACUGGGCGUAAAGGGCGCGUAGGUGGCGACCCAAGUCGAUGGUGAAAGCUCGCCGCUCAACGGCGAGUCGGCCACCGAUACUGGGUUGGCUGGAGCACUGUAGAGGCUCAUGGAAUUCCGGGUGUAGCGGUGGAAUGCGUAGAGAUCCGGAAGAACACCGGUGGCGAAGGCGGUGAGCUGGGCAGUUGCUGACACUGAGGCG